GCCUGGGUGGCUCAGUCGGUUGGGCAUCUGACUUCAGCUCAGGUCACGAUCUCACGGUCCGUGAGUUCGAGCCCCGCAUCGGGCU
rnacentral:tRNA from 1 species